rnacentral:rRNA from 1 species
UACGUAGGUGGCAAGCGUUGUCCGGAAUUAUUGGGCGUAAAGAGCUCGUAGGCGGUUUGUCGCGUCUGCUGUGAAAUCCCGAGGCUCAACCUCGGGCCUGCAGUGGGUACGGGCAGACUGGAGUGCGGUAGGGGAGAAUGGAAUUCCUGGUGUAGCGGUGGAAUGCGCAGAUAUCAGGAGGAACACCGAUGGCGAAGGCAGUUCUCUGGGCCGUAACUGACGCUGAGGAGCGAAAGCGUGGGGAGCGAACAGG